UACGAAGGGGGCUAGCGUUGCUCGGAAUCACUGGGCGUAAAGCGCACGUAGGCGGAUUGCUAAGUCAGGGGUGAAAUCCUGGAGCUCAACUCCAGAACUGCCUUUGAUACUGGCGAUCUCGAGUCCGGGAGAGGUGAGUGGAACUGCGAGUGUAGAGGUGAAAUUCGUAGGAUAUUCGCAAGAACACCAGUGGCGAAGGCGGCUCACUGGCCCGGUACUGACGCUGAGGUGCGAAAGCGUGGGGAGCAAACAGG
rnacentral:rRNA from 1 species